GGCAGCCGAGCGAGCGCGCGAGUGUGGCGGGCGCGGGGCGGGCCCCGCUGUUUAAAGCCUCGGCGGGGCUGCGGCGGCGGCGGCUCCGGCAGCAGCACGCGGGAGGCGGGGCCGGAGGCUCCUCCGCCCCUCAGCCCGCCCACCCGCGGUCCCGCAGCGGCGCGCGGCUGACGCUCCCUCAGCGAUCCGGCCCUCCGCGGCUCCUGCGCGACCCCACGCAAAAGCGCCCCGUGCGAAGAGCGCGGCCAGCCAGUCCGCAAAGGGCCUCGGGCAGUGCGGGCAGCACGAACGGCGCGAUCGGGGAGCAGGCGCGGCUACGCUCCGCCUCAGUGAUGUCGCCGGGAGGAUCUCCGCGCGGCUACCUCCUCUUCCGCCGCCUUCCUCCCACGCCUUCACCUCCCUCCCCCGCCGCGCUCUGCGGCGAAAAGGAGCGGGCUCCCAGGCCACCUCCCCUCUCUCCACCCAGGGGCCGCGCGUCAGUGGACCUGCAGCCCAGGCAACGGGGCUGCGGACGGCGCGCGUGCCCUGCCUCGCCUCACGCCGGUAGCUGAUGCUCCCGCGGCAGCUGCCACCCCAGCGCCCCAGCCACGGCUUCAGAGGCUCUCGCACGCUGGCUUUUUUUUUUUCCCCCCGCUUUGGUGAACUCGCAGUACUUGGGCUGAGCCCGAAAUCUCGCGAGAUGCUGCAGGCGUCAGUGCGGCUUCCCACUAGGCGCGUGGUACCCGAGGCCGGGCCGGAGCCGCAGGCCAGCCGCGAUUCCUUCGGGCGAUGCUGGGGGCUUUCCGGUCGGGGCCGCAGCCGCUUCCGGAGCCGCGGGCGAGGUGCGUUCCCCAGCCUGGUUUGCUCUGGGCUCUGACCCGCCGCCGCGAAUCUCCGCUCGUAACUCCGGGCCUGAACCUGGAGGAGGGAGGAUUUCCUCUGUGCAGCUUUCGAGCGGUAGACUCACCCUGCCAGGCAGACCUAGAUUGGCAUAACCAGAGAUCAGUUCCAGUUGUGAUGCAGUGGGUGUCUACACACUUCUGAUGACACCUUUAUUUUAAAAGCUGAUGUUCCAAGGUGAGAAGGGAGCUUCUUUGAGACGUCAUGUUGUUUCAAGACGAGUUUUAAUUUAAGGCAUUUCCAAAAGUGAUAUGCAGCUCAUCUCUCAGAAUACAAUGCCGGCAAUAACUACCCGUGGAGUCCUUACCAGGAGGUUUCUGCGUGAUUUGGGUUGUGCAGAAUUCCUCUGCUUAUAUAGAAACAGAAAGGUACUCCUCUGCAGGUCUAGUUUCUCUUCGGUAAAAUGUAAGGGAAUAUAACUGUGUUCCCACUUUCUUAGCAGCAGAAAUUUUUAAACCUAUAGAUUAUGCCCAAAGUCCUAAGUAAAAUCAAUGAAUGGCGUCCUCCAAUUACUUGGUUUUUAUUUAUGUACUUUUUUUUUUUUUUUUUGAGACGGAGUCUCGCUCUGUCGCCCAAGCUGUAGUGCAGGGGUGCGAUCUUGGCUCACUGCAAACUCCGCCUCCUGGGUUCACGCCAUUCUCCUCCUGCCUCAGCCUCCUGAGUAGUUGGGACUACAGGCGCCCGCCAUCACGCCCUGCUAAUUUUUUGUAUUUUUAGUAGAGUCGGGGUUUCACCGUGUUAGCCAGGAUGGUCUCGAUCUCCUGACCUCGUGAUCCGCCCACCUCCGCCUCUCCAAGUGCUGGGAUUACAGGCAUGAGCCACCGCGCCCGGCCCUUGUAUUUUUAAACUUUGACUUUAUGGAGACGAACACCAUCGUUUGCUGAACACUUGAAACAUGAUGAAAGAGCCACAGAGUUGGCAGAACUGUUUGAAAAUGCUGUGCAAGCGGUCUUCUCUGUCUUCUUUAUGGCCAGUAAAAUUCUCCAGAAGAGAUUUAUGGCAGCCUCACUCCCAGUAGUUUCUGCAUUUAGUGAGAUAAGGUAAGUUCUGAGAAGGCUUUUUUCUGCAUCUGUUGAAUUUCAAAUGUCUUUAGAAUAAUCUUUAUAUCAACUCUGGGGGUCUCAGUGAGUUCCCACAGGUUGUUGUGAGAAUAACUAAGGUAAUAUGGCAAAACUGUUAAGUUAGCACUCCAUAAAUAUUUGCUUUUAUUAUUAUUUGAAAACUAGUCUUUCUGCCUUGAUGCCAGUAGCAGAUGGGAAAUUAUGGUGAUUUUUAUUUCUAACAUUGAUCCAUUUUACAGAUCAGCCAGUCUGCUUAAUUCCUGGGUCAGCAUUUCCUAUGCAGUUACCCAAGUGCUGAUUCAUUGCUUUUUCUCAUAUUCAAUUAAACUCCCCAUCUAACUUUUCCAAAUCAAUUUCUUCCUGACUGUUGACUUAGAAUUCAUUGCAGUUGUCCUAAAUAAUUUGAGCAACUCAAGAAAAUUAACAUCUGCUGAGAUCUGUUUCUACCUUUCCUAAGUUUCUCUUCAUUCCCUUUCAGUACCCUGGGAUGUCACUCAAGUCUCUUUUUAAACCUAUAUCCACUUCACCUCAUUUGGCUUUUUGCCUAUCAGAGGUGAAACAAAAGAGUGAAAUCUUUGCUUGUGGAAUCCUCUCAUGUCAUCAAUUGUUUAUAAAUGUUUAGUAUUUAAAGGACCACUAAGGGCCAGUGGGGAAAAUGAAUCUUAUGGAUGGAUAUCAUCAUUUUUUGCUACUUAAUAAUGUUAUGGACUUUCAAAUGAGAUUUCUGUAACUGGAAUGAGAAAAAUCCUAAUAAGUUUAGGAUGGGUCAGAAGAUUUGUGCAAUGGAGUGAAUGCUUGUGUGCUUCCCAAAUUUCGUAUGUUGAAACUAUAAUCCCAAUGUGAUAGUAGUUGAUGGAAGGGCCUUUGGACAGUGGAGCCCUCAUGAAUGGGAUUAGUGCUCUUAAAAGAAGAGACCAGAGAGCUAGCUAGCUGUCUUUCCACCAUAUGAGGGUGCAAUGGGAAGCUGGCAGUCUGCAACCAGAAGAGGACCCUCACCAGUCCCUCACCGUUCUAGCACCGUGAACUCAGACUUCAGUCUCCAGAACUGUGAGAAAUAAAUUUCUAUUGUUUAUGUCACCCAGUUUAUAGUACUUUGUUAUAGAAGCUCAAAUUGACUAAGAUAAUUUGGAUAUUAGGUUAUAUCGCUUGCAGGAGGUAUGUAACUUCUUGAAACAUGUAAACUCUCUGUGUUGUGUUCUGCUGCCUAAAUCCACCAGAUAAAUAUUUGGUUUACUUUGCUUGGGAAAACUGUUACUCAAAUGUUCUCUGUACAAAUGCAGGAGAGUAAAAUUAUUUCCCCAUUUUAUAUCAGUAAUUGCUAUUUUAUUUGUCAGUAAGUGUUUCAUUAUGAUUUAAACAAUUGGUAUAAGUAUAUUAAUAUAAUUAUUUACUAGUUGCUAAAAAUAUAUGCUGCAUCUUAUGAAAAUACAUUUAAAAAACACUCGAAUGGGUCAUUUGACAUGAAAGCAUCAUUCGAUUUAGAAUUCAGAGACUAAGUUGCCAAAAGAGGAAAAUAUUUAAUACCAUUCCCUGAAGGCUAGUAAGUUUAUAAUUAGCAGGAUCACCAGAGGGAGUAAAUUUAGAGCUGAAAACCACUCACUGAUUCUGUAGUAUACUUGAAUAAAAUAAGGUCACUGUCCAUGUAGCUGGCCAAAUAGCUUGGCACAAUAUGGAAGAAGGAA
rnacentral:lncRNA from 10 species